AGCUGCACAGUAAGCACAUAGCGAAUUAUUCUUUCGCCUUUUACUAAAGAAUACCGUGUGCUUGCUGUAUUAAGCAGCAUGCACUAAUUUUUUGGAGAGGUUCUUCCAUUUUC